CGCCUCUUGACAAAACAUAAGAGGUCCCGCCUGCCCGGUGACUAAAUUUAACGGCCGCGGUACCCUAACCGUGCGAAGGUAGCACAAUCACUUGUUCCUUAAAUAGGGACUAGUAUGAACGGCACCACGAAGACUAUACUGUCUCCCCCCUAUAAUCAGUGAAACUGAUCUCCCCGUGAAGAAGCGGGGAUGAACCUAUAAGACGAGAAGACCCCAUGGAGCUUUAAACUCAGUACCACCUACUUUUCACGACUCCAUAAUAACCCAGUAUGCAUGACUACUAGUUUUUGGUUGGGGUGACCGCGGAGUAAAACUUAACCUCCACAAUGAAUGGAACUAAUCUCCUAAUUCUAGACCCACACCUCAAAAAAUUAAAACAUUAACAUAAUUUGACCCAAACCUAUUGAUCAACGAACCAAGUUACCCUGGGGAUAACAGCGCAAUCCAUUUUAAGAGCCCCUAUCGACAAAUGGGUUUACGACCUCGAUGUUGGAUCAGGGUAUCCUAGUGGUGCAGCCGCUACUAAAGGUUCGUUUGUUCAACGAUUAAAACCCUACG
rnacentral:rRNA from 1 species